rnacentral:rRNA from 1 species
CAUUAGUGAAUAUAGGACGUCCAACUUAACUUGGAGUCCGAACUCUCACUUUCUAACCCUGUGCACUUGUUUGGGAUAGUAACUCUCGCAAGAGAGCGAACUCCUAUUCACUUAUAAACACAAAGUCUAUGAAUGUAUUAAAUUUUAUAACAAAAUAAAACUUUCAACAACGGAUCUCUUGGCUCUCGCAUCGAUGAAGAACGCAGCGAAAUGCGAUAAGUAAUGUGAAUUGCAGAAUUCAGUGAAUCAUCGAAUCUUUGAACGCACCUUGCGCUCCAUGGUAUUCCGUGGAGCAUGCCUGUUUGAGUGUCAUGAAUACUUCAACCCUCCUCUUUCUUAAUGAUUGAAGAGGUGUUUGGUUUCUGAGCGCUGCUGGCCUUUACGGUCUAGCUCGUUCGUAAUGCAUUAGCAUCCGCAAUCGAACUUCGGAUUGACUUGGCGUAAUAGACUAUUCGCUGAGGAAUUCUAGUCUUCGGAUUAGAGCCGGGUUGGGUUAAAGGAAGCUUCUAAUCAGAAUGUCUACAUUUUAAGAUUAGAUCUCAAAUCAGGUAGGACUACCCGCUGAACUUAAGCAUAUCAAUAAGCGGAGGAAAAGAAACUAACAAGGAUUCCCCUAGUAGCGGCGAGCGAAGCGGGAAGAGCUCAAAUUUAUAAUCUGGCACCUUCGGUGUCCGAGUUGUAAUCUCUAGAAAUGUUUUCCGCGUUGGACCGCACACAAGUCUGUUGGAAUACAGCGGCAUAGUGGUGAGACCCCCGUAUAUGGUGCGGACGCCCAGCGCUUUGUGAUACAUUUUCGAAGAGUCGAGUUGUUUGGGAAUGCAGCUCAAAUUGGGUGGUAAAUUCCAUCUAAAGCUAAAUAUUGGCGAGAGACCGAUAGCGAACAAGUACCGUGAGGGAAAGAUGAAAAGCACUUUGGAAAGAGAGUUAACAGUACGUGAAAUUGUUGGAAGGGAAACGCUUGAAGUCAGACUUGCUUGCCGAGCAAUCGGUUUGCAGGCCAGCAUCAGUUUUCCGGGAUGGAUAAUGGUAGAGAGAAGGUAGCAGUUUCGGCUGUGUUAUAGCUCUCUGCUGGAUACAUCUUGGGGGACUGAGGAACGCAGUGUGCCUUUGGCGGGGGUUUCGACCUCUCACACUUAGGA